AGAACGAACGCUGGCGGCAUGCUUAACACAUGCAAGUCGAACGAGACCCCAACUUCGGUUGGACGUCUAGUGGCGCACGGGUGCGUAACGCGUGGGAAUCUGCCCUUAGGUACGGAAUAACUCAGAGAAAUUUGUGCUAAUACCGUAUGAUGACGUAAGUCCAAAGAUUUAUCGCCUAAGGAUGAGCCCGCGUAAGAUUAGCUUGUUGGUGAGUAAGAACUCACCAA
rnacentral:rRNA from 1 species